rnacentral:rRNA from 1 species
GACGAACGCUGGCGGCGUGCCUAAUACAUGCAAGUAGAACGCUGAAGGAGGAGCUUGCUUCUCCGGAUGAGUUGCGAACGGGUGAGUAACGCGUAGGUAACCUGCCUGGUAGCGGGGGAUAACUAUUGGAAACGAUAGCUAAUACCGCAUAAGAGUAGAUGUUGCAUGACAUUUGCUUAAAAGGUGCAAUUGCAUCACUACCAGAUGGACCUGCGUUGUAUUAGCUAGUUGGUGAGGUAACGGCUCACCAAGGCGACGAUACAUAGCCGACCUGAGAGGGUGAUCGGCCACACUGGGACUGAGACACGGCCCAGACUCCUACGGGAGGCAGCAGUAGGGAAUCUUCGGCAAUGGACGGAAGUCUGACCGAGCAACGCCGCGUGAGUGAAGAAGGUUUUUGGAUCGUAAAGCUCUGUUGUAAGAGAAGAACGAGUGUGAGAGUGGAAAGUUCACACUGUGACGGUAUCUUACCAGAAAGGGACGGCUAACUACGUG